CUGGGCCAGACCUUUGUACCUGCUCUGCCGCAGAAAACCUGCGAGCCAGCGGGAGCCCAACCGGCCGUGAGAAAUGGCUCCUCAAAGCCAGAUCGCUUUGCUUUGCUCCUUGCUUUGUAGUGUAGCGUUCCUCUGGUGCGGAGCGGAAGGACAGAGUGGUGCUGAACCAGAAGUGACUCUGGCGCUGGGACGGCUCAAAGGGAAACAAACAAAUGUAAAGGGGACAGACAAACUCGUGAAUGCAUUCCUUGGAAUUCCUUUUGCAAAAGCCCCUGUUGGAUCCUUGAGGUUUUCCCCACCUGAACCACCUGAACCCUGGAAUGAUGUGAGAGAUGCAACCUCUUACCCACCCCUAUGUCCUCAAGAUCUGUCCAUGUUGAAAACAGCUGAAAGAAACUACAAAGAAAAACACAUUCCUUUCCGAACUUCUGAGGACUGUUUGUAUCUCAAUGUUUACAGCCCUGCUGGUUCCAGCAAGAAGGACAAGUUACCUGUAAUGGUGUGGAUCCAUGGAGGCAACUUUAUAUUUGGUGGUGCUUCUAGGUAUGAUGGUUCAGCACUGUCAGCCUACGAGAAUGUUGUGGUAGUAAUAAUUCAGUACAGACUUGGACUCCUUGGAUACUUCAAUACUGGUGAUGAACAUGCUCGUGGGAACUGGGCUUAUUUGGAUCAAGUAGCAGCUCUUCGGUGGAUCCAAGGCAAUAUUGAACACUUUGGUGGAGAUCCAGGAUCUGUCACACUCUUUGGUGUAUCUGCAGGAUCUUGCUCCGUUUUUGCACAUGUUUUAUCUCCUUUGUCUAAGGGUCUCUUUCAUAAAGCAAUAUCAGAGAGUGGAAUUCUACUUCCCCCCAGUAGAGAUUUACUUCUUUCAAUACAUCCUAAGAAAAUUGGAAGUAUCUUUAAGUGUGACACGAGCAGUUCCCUCUCCCUGAUAAACUGCUUAAGGAAGCAGGAAGCAGACCAUAUAAUCUUCAACACCACGGUCGUGCCAUUUCUGCCCAUACUUGUGGAUGGAGUAUUUCUUCCCAAGUCACCUGAAGAGAUACUGGCUGGAAAAGAAUUUAAUGCAGUUCCAUUUAUGACAGGAGUCGCCAACAAUGAAUUUGGCUGGAAUAUCAGAUCUGAAUCAAAAAUACCAGGUUUGAGGGAAAUAGGAGAUAAAAAAUCAAUUACUUCAACUGUAGAGUUUUUUCUACCAAUGGUAGAUUUACCAUCAGAUUUUCUGCCCAGGAUAGUAGAUGAAUAUGUAGGAGACACAGAGGAUCCUGCUGAGCUACGGGCCCAGUUUCUGGACUUGCUGGGGGAUAUGGUAUUUGUCAUGCCAGCCAUUAAAGCCCUGAAUUAUCACAGGGCUACUUCAGAAGUCAGCAGCUCUGUGGUCUGGAGAUUUCAAAAAAUCUUGACAAACCCUGCCAAGAUACCCAGAACUGGAAAUAAUUUGGUGUUAUUGUGGUUUCUAGUCUGGAGCCCCUACCUACUUCUUUGAGUUUCAGCACCGCCCCAGUUCACACUGGGACAGCAAACCAGAGUAUGUGAAGGCUGACCACGGGGAUGAAGUUGGCUUUGUCUUGGGAGGACCCUUUCUGGCAGGAGAAAUUCAGCUGUGCAGUGAAGUUACAGAGGAAGAAAAGAACCUCAGUAGAACUCUGAUGAAGUACUGGGCUAACUUUGCUCGAAAUGGAAAUCCUAAUGGAGAGGGUUUGGUUGAAUGGCCAUCUUACAACCUAAAUGAAGAAUACUUGCAGAUAAAUCUAAAACAAAAGAAAGCCAGGAAGUUGAAAGAAGAGAAGGUGAAUUUCUGGAAAAAGCUGAUGCUGGAAAAGGCAAACAACCAAAGAAUGGAAAACAAGAAGGUUAAUUCAGAGUUAUAAUUUACAGUCUAAACAUGCACACAAUAUGCAAGCUAUUAGGAUAGGAAAAGAAAUUACUUAAAGUUAUUUUGAGGAUAAAAUUCUGUUUCCCUUCUUUUUGUCUUUUCUUCACACUUGUCAUACUUGAAAUUAUUCGUUGUAAUAACUCCAAUUGAUCCCUCACUUGUUAAAUACAGCUGCCACAUUUCCCCAGUGCUCAGGUUUUUCUGUCACUUCCCCAUGACUGAAGACAGAAUGUAGCAGCAACAUUGUUUUAAUAAAAUGAAAUCAAUGACGACCCAA